UAGGGAAUCUUCCACAAUGGGCGCAAGCCUGAUGGAGCAACGCCGCGUGAGUGAAGAAGGGUUUCGGCUCGUAAAGCUCUGUUGUUAAAGAAGAACGUGGGUAAGAGUAACUGUUUACCCAGUGACGGUAUUUAACCAGAAAGCCACGGCUAACUACGUACCAG
rnacentral:rRNA from 1 species